rnacentral:rRNA from 1 species
GGGUUGUGAGGUUAAGCGACUAAGCGUACACGGUGGAUGCCCUGGCAGUCAGAGGCGAUGAAGGACGUGCUAAUCUGCGAUAAGCGUCGGUAAGGUGAUAUGAACCGUUAUAACCGGCGAUUUCCGAAUGGGGAAACCCAGUGUGUUUCGACACACUAUCAUUAACUGAAUCCAUAGGUUAAUGAGGCGAACCGGGGGAACUGAAACAUCUAAGUACCCCGAGGAAAAGAAAUCAACCGAGAUUCCCCCAGUAGCGGCGAGCGAACGGGGAGCAGCCCAGAGCCUGAAUCAGUGUGUGUGUUAGUGGAAGCGUCUGGAAAGGCGCGCGAUACAGGGUGACAGCCCCGUACACAAAAAUGCACAUGCUGUGAGCUCGAUGAGUAGGGCGGGACACGUGGUAUCCUGUCUGAAUAUGGGGGGACCAUCCUCCAAGGCUAAAUACUCCUGACUGACCGAUAGUGAACCAGUACCGUGAGGGAAAGGCGAAAAGAACCCCGGCGAGGGGAGUGAAAAAGAACCUGAAACCGUGUACGUACAAGCAGUGGGAGCACGCUUAGGCGUGUGACUGCGUACCUUUUGUAUAAUGGGUCAGCGACUUAUAUUCUGUAGCAAGGUUAACCGAAUAGGGGAGCCGAAGGGAAACCGAGUCUUAACUGGGCGUUAAGUUGCAGGGUAUAGACCCGAAACCCGGUGAUCUAGCCAUGGGCAGGUUGAAGGUUGGGUAACACUAACUGGAGGACCGAACCGACUAAUGUUGAAAAAUUAGCGGAUGACUUGUGGCUGGGGGUGAAAGGCCAAUCAAACCGGGAGAUAGCUGGUUCUCCCCGAAAGCUAUUUAGGUAGCGCCUCGUGAAUUCAUCUCCGGGGGUAGAGCACUGUUUCGGCAAGGGGGUCAUCCCGACUUACCAACCCGAUGCAAACUGCGAAUACCGGAGAAUGUUAUCACGGGAGACACACGGCGGGUGCUAACGUCCGUCGUGAAGAGGGAAACAACCCAGACCGCCAGCUAAGGUCCCAAAGUCAUGGUUAAGUGGGAAACGAUGUGGGAAGGCCCAGACAGCCAGGAUGUUGGCUUAGAAGCAGCCAUCAUUUAAAGAAAGCGUAAUAGCUCACUGGUCGAGUCGGCCUGCGCGGAAGAUGUAACGGGGCUAAACCAUGCACCGAAGCUGCGGCAGCGACGCUUAUGCGUUGUUGGGUAGGGGAGCGUUCUGUAAGCCUGUGAAGGUGUGCUGUGAGGCAUGCUGGAGGUAUCAGAAGUGCGAAUGCUGACAUAAGUAACGAUAAAGCGGGUGAAAAGCCCGCUCGCCGGAAGACCAAGGGUUCCUGUCCAACGUUAAUCGGGGCAGGGUGAGUCGACCCCUAAGGCGAGGCCGAAAGGCGUAGUCGAUGGGAAACAGGUUAAUAUUCCUGUACUUGGUGUUACUGCGAAGGGGGGACGGAGAAGGCUAUGUUGGCCGGGCGACGGUUGUCCCGGUUUAAGCGUGUAGGCUGGUUUUCCAGGCAAAUCCGGAAAAUCAAGGCUGAGGCGUGAUGACGAGGCACUACGGUGCUGAAGCAACAAAUGCCCUGCUUCCAGGAAAAGCCUCUAAGCAUCAGGUAACAUCAAAUCGUACCCCAAACCGACACAGGUGGUCAGGUAGAGAAUACCAAGGCGCUUGAGAGAACUCGGGUGAAGGAACUAGGCAAAAUGGUGCCGUAACUUCGGGAGAAGGCACGCUGAUACGUAGGUGAAGUCCCUCGCGGAUGGAGCUGAAAUCAGUCGAAGAUACCAGCUGGCUGCAACUGUUUAUUAAAAACACAGCACUGUGCAAACACGAAAGUGGACGUAUACGGUGUGACGCCUGCCCGGUGCCGGAAGGUUAAUUGAUGGGGUCAGCGCAAGCGAAGCUCUUGAUCGAAGCCCCGGUAAACGGCGGCCGUAACUAUAACGGUCCUAAGGUAGCGAAAUUCCUUGUCGGGUAAGUUCCGACCUGCACGAAUGGCGUAAUGAUGGCCAGGCUGUCUCCACCCGAGACUCAGUGAAAUUGAACUCGCUGUGAAGAUGCAGUGUACCCGCGGCAAGACGGAAAGACCCCGUGAACCUUUACUAUAGCUUGACACUGAACAUUGAGCCUUGAUGUGUAGGAUAGGUGGGAGGCUUUGAAGUGUGGACGCCAGUCUGCAUGGAGCCGACCUUGAAAUACCACCCUUUAAUGUUUGAUGUUCUAACGUUGACCCGUGAUCCGGGUUGCGGACAGUGUCUGGUGGGUAGUUUGACUGGGGCGGUCUCCUCCUAAAGAGUAACGGAGGAGCACGAAGGUUGGCUAAUCCUGGUCGGACAUCAGGAGGUUAGUGCAAUGGCAUAAGCCAGCUUGACUGCGAGCGUGACGGCGCGAGCAGGUGCGAAAGCAGGUCAUAGUGAUCCGGUGGUUCUGAAUGGAAGGGCCAUCGCUCAACGGAUAAAAGGUACUCCGGGGAUAACAGGCUGAUACCGCCCAAGAGUUCAUAUCGACGGCGGUGUUUGGCACCUCGAUGUCGGCUCAUCACAUCCUGGGGCUGAAGUAGGUCCCAAGGGUAUGGCUGUUCGCCAUUUAAAGUGGUACGCGAGCUGGGUUUAGAACGUCGUGAGACAGUUCGGUCCCUAUCUGCCGUGGGCGCUGGAGAACUGAGGGGGG